CUUUGAGUAUGUGGCCCAUUUUAUUUCACAGUGCUUUCUUUACAUCAGUUCACAAACCCGUUGCUAAAAAUCUCACUGAUUUUUCGUCUUUCGCGGUCCCAACGAACCCUAGAUCGGAUCAUGUCUGGAGCAUACGGUCAAGACGGCGGCGGCGGCUCUGCGCCACCGUCAUAUGGAGCCAGCGGUGGAUACGGUUCCGGUGGUGGUAGUUAUGGAGGCGGAACCUAUGGAGGGGGCGGUGCCGGUGGAGGAUACGGUGGUAACGAUGGCGGUGGAGGUUACGGAGGGAAAAACAGCGGAAACGGCGGCGGAUACGGUGGUAACGAUGGCGGGGGUUAUGGAGGAAGGAGCGGCUACGGUGGAAACGAUGGCGGAGGCUAUGGAGGAAGAGGCGGUGGUCAAGGUGGCCGGGGAGGUGGAGGAUUCGGUGGUGGAUAUGGUGGUCGAGGUGGAGGUGGAGGUGGAGGUGGAGGUGGCGGUGGCGGUGGCGGAUAUCAAGGUGGUGAUCGCGGUGGUCGUGGCGGAGGUCGCGGCGGAGGCGGCCGUGGCGGCAGCGGCAGAGAUGGAGACUGGCGUUGCCCUAACCAAAGUUGUGGGAAUUUGAACUUUGCGAGAAGGGUUGAAUGUAACAAAUGCGGUGCUCCUUGUCCUAAUCCGAAUAGUUCCAAUGAACGUGGUGGAAGUGGUGGGGGUGGGGGUGGCUUUAGUAGAGGCGGAGGUGGCGGUGGGGGGUAUGGUAACACGCGAGGGGGAAGAUCUGGGAACUAUGAUGGAGGGAGAGGUAAUGACUAUAACAGUGGAGGGGGUCGAUCUGGUAACUAUGAUGGUGGAAGGGGUAAUGAUUAUAAUAGUGGAAGGGGUGGUAGUAAUGAUGGUAGAGGUGGUUCAUAUAGAGGUAAUCAAGGUAGAGAAGAUGGUAGCUACGGUCAAGUUCCCGCUCCUAAUGCCCAAUCUUAUGGUAGUGCUGGUGGAAGCUUCCCACCCUCUUACAGUUCUUAUGGUGGGAAUGCAAGUUAUGGAACUGAUGCAGUUCCUCCACCUUCAAGCUAUACUGGCGGACCUAAUUCCUAUCCUCCAUCGUAUGGGGGUAAUGUCGGAGGUUAUGGGGGAGAUAAUCAAGGGAAUGGACGGAGUGGUGGUAGAUCUGGGCCUCCUUCUGGGUUUGACAAUAGUUAUGGUGCUGGUAAUCGAGGUGGAUUUGGUGGGUCUCCUGCCGAGCCCCCAGCUGCAGUGAAGCAGUGUGAUGAGAAUUGUGAUGACACUUGCGACAACUCUAGAAUAUACAUCUCAAACCUUCCACCAGAUGUGUCAAUUGAAGAAUUGAGGGAACUUUUUGGAGGCAUUGGACAAGUUGGAAGGAUAAAGCAGAAGAGAGGCUACAAAGAUCAGUGGCCUUGGAACAUUAAGAUUUACACAGAUGAGAAUGGAAAUAACAAGGGAGAUGCUUGUCUUGCUUAUGAAGACCCUUCUGCAGCACAUUCGGCUGGCGGUUUUUACAAUAAUUAUGAUUUGAGGGGUUACAAAAUCAGUGUUGCAAUGGCAGAAAAAUCUGCUCCAAGAGCUGCACCUGCUUAUAACCAAGGGGGCAAUAGGGGUGGCUAUGGUGGAGAUAGACGCCGAGACAACUAUAGAGAUGGAGGUGGCUCUGGGCCUGAUAGGCGUGAUCAUUAUGGAAAUCGUUCUCGUCCGUACUAGGAGCUUGGACAUUGAACGUUUUAUGUACUAUGAAUUGUGGGCUGAGGGUUUAAUUAUUUCAGUUGGCUGGUUUCUUGAACUGGAAGCAAAGAGGUAGGUUGUUCACUUACUUUGAGCAAUACCUCUUCCGCUCCUUUUUUGUUUCAAUUGUCUAGAUGGUGGGUUUUGAAUUUAGCCAGGGAUUAAUUUAAUCAUGUGAAUGUUUUUAUAGAGGCAAGUGGAUAGUCUCCCAAUUGCUUGCUGCUAAGGUAGGUGUUGAAUAUUUCAGCCAAUAGGGAAGUCAAGUAUCUUUUGGACUUCAUAAUACGGCAUGUGUUGCUUUUGGCAAGCUAACUAUUGGAGUCCGCACUUCACAGUUGCAUUCCUCUGCCACUUAUUCUCUGCAGUCCAAGUUUGUUUCUACUUUCUGAUAAAAUUAGUACACAGUUGCACUGCGAGUUUGAUUUAAUGUUCACACAUCUAUAUCCGGUGGCUUUUGCGUAUUUGGUACUUGCGAGCAGAACUUUCUUCCAUGGGGCUAUUGUGGGUGACAAGUGUCGUUGCUUCCAAACCAUGCUUGUUCAUUUAGUUCCUUACCAAUGGAUGCUAUAAAAUUCAAAUGUACUUUGACCCGUAGUGUAGAUUGUGAUAGCCUGUUUGAUUUGUUGGUUGGGAAUUUUUACUUUUUUAAACCAUGUCAUUCUUCUAGUUAUUAAAAUACCCCUUCCUUUCUGACUA